GACGAACGCUGGCGGCGUGCUUAACACAUGCAAGUCGAGCGGUAAGGCCCUUCGGGGUACACGAGCGGCGAACGGGUGAGUAACACGUGAGCAACCUGCCCCUGACUCCGGGAUAAGCGGUGGAAACGCCGUCUAAUACCGGAUAUGACCUGCCACCUCAUGGUGGCGGGUGGAAAGUUUUAUCGGUCAGGGAUGGGCUCGCGGCCUAUCAGCUUGUUGGUGGGGUAACGGCCUACCAAGGCGAUUACGGGUAGCCGGCCUGAGAGGGCGACCGGCCACACUGGGACUGAGACACGGCCCAGACUCCUGCGGGAGGCAGCAGUGGGGAAUAUUGCACAAUGGGCGAAAGCCUGAUGCAGCGACGCCGCGUGGGGGAUGACGGCCUUCGGGUUGUAAACCUCUUUUACCACCAACGCAGGCUCCGGGUUCUCUCGGGGUUGACGGUAGGUGGGGAAUAAGGACCGGCUAACUACGUGCCAGCAGCCGCGGUAAUACGUAGGGUCCGAGCGUUGUCCGGAAUUAUUGGGCGUAAAGAGCUCGUAGGCGGCAUGUCGCGUCUGCUGUGAAAGACCGGGGCUUAACUCCGGUUCUGCAGUGGAUACGGGCAUGCUAGAGGUAGGUAGGGGAAACUGGAAUUCCUGGUGUAGCGGUGAAAUGCGCAGAUAUCAGGAGGAACACCGGUGGCGAAGGCGGGUUUCUGGGCCUUACCUGACGCUGAGGAGCGAAAGCAUGGGGAGCGAACAGGAUUAGAUACCCUGGUAGUCCAUGCCGUAACGUUGGGCGCUAGGUGUGGGGACUUUCCACGGUUUCCGCGCCGUAGCUAACGCAUUAAGCGCCCCGCCUGGGGAGUACGGCCGCAAGGCUAAAACUCAAAGGAAUUGACGGGGGCCCGCACAAGCGGCGGAGCAUGUUGCUUAAUUCGACGCAACGCGAAGAACCUUACCAAGGUUUGACAUCACCCGUGGACCUGUAGAGAUACAGGGUCAUUUAGUUGGUGGGUGACAGGUGGUGCAUGGCUGUCGUCAGCUCGUGUCGUGAGAUGUUGGGUUAAGUCCCGCAACGAGCGCAACCCUUGUUCUAUGUUGCCAGCACGUAAUGGUGGGGACUCAUAGGAGACUGCCGGGGUCAACUCGGAGGAAGGUGGGGACGACGUCAAGUCAUCAUGCCCCUUAUGUCUUGGGCUGCAAACAUGCUACAAUGGCCGGUACAAUGGGCGUGCGAUACCGUAA
rnacentral:rRNA from 1 species